UAAUUAGACAUAAACGUCGGGGACUUGGUUUUUUUACACAAACAUGACACAGAUGUGAUUGUGUGUGUGUGUGUGAGUGUGUGUGUGUGCAUGUGUAGUGUAUGUGUGUCGGUGUGUGUGUGUGUGUGUAUUGUUGCCGCUUGCUGCUUUUGAUCAAGUCAAAGCUAAGUGCAUGCAAAAACCGUAGCAUACAUUUGAGCGCUGUUUAAAAUUAUACAAAAAAUGAUGAAAAUUUCGUGACGAAAAUCCAAAAGCAGCAAGAGUUCAUUUAAAAAGCUACAUUAAGAAAAUAUAUUUAUAAUAUAAAUAUAUAUAUGACGCAUAUAAAUAGGACAUUUAAAAGAUAUAUAUAAAAAGAGAAUAUUUAACAACUGGCUUGUUUUACAACAUUGAAACACAUUUACAAAAUGCAAAAUGAAAA